rnacentral:rRNA from 1 species
CCUACGGGGGGCAGCAGUGGGGAAUAUUGCACAAUGGGGGAAACCCUGAUGCAGCGAAGCCGCGUGAGGGAAGAAGGAUCUCGGUAUGGAAAGCUUCUUCAGUAGGGAAGAAAAUGACGGUACGUGACUAAGAAGCCCCGGAUAACUACGUGCCAGCAGCCGCGGCAACACGCAGGGGGCAAGCGUUAUCCGGAUUUACUGGGUGUAAAGGGUGCGUAGGUGGCUGGGCAAGUCAGGUGUGAAAGCCCGGGGCUCAACCCCGGUACUGCAUUUGAAACUGGCCAUCUGGAGUGCAGGAGAGGUAAGCGGAAUUCCUGGUGUAGCGGUGAAAUGCGUAGAUAUUAGGAGGAACACCAGUGGCGAAGGCAGCUUACUGGACUGUAACUGACACUGAGGCACGAAAGCGUGGGGAGCAAACAGGAUUAGAUACCCGAGUAGUC